UGGGGAAUUUUGCACAAUGGGGGAUACCCUGAUGCAGCGACGCCGCGUGAUUUAGAAGGCCUUCGGGUUGUAACAAUCUUUUCUAUGGGAAGAAUAUGACAGUACCAUAGGAAUAAGUACCGGCUAAUUACGUGCCAGCAGCCGCGGUAAUACGUAAGGUCCGAGCGUUGUCCGGAAUCAUUGGGCGUAAAGGGUACGUAGGCGGGUAAGCAAGUUAGAAGUGAAAUCCUAUAGCUCAACUAUAGUAAGCUUUUAAAACUGCUCAUCUUGAGGUAUGGAAGGGAAAGUGGAAUUCCUAGUGGAGCGGUGAAAUGAGCAGAUAUGAGGAGGAAUACCGGUGGGGAAGGCGACUUUCUGGCCAUAACCUGACGCUGAGGUACGAAAGCGUGGGUAGCAAACAGG
rnacentral:rRNA from 1 species